GAUCCUGGCUCAGAUUGAACGCUGGCGGCAGGCCUAACACAUGCAAGUCGAACGGUAACAGAAAGAAGCUUGCUUCUUUGCUGACGAGUGGCGGACGGGUGAGUAAUGUCUGGGAAACUGCCUUGAGUGGAGGGGGUAACUACUGGAAACGGUAGCUAAUACCGCAUAACGUCGCAAGACCAAAGAGGGGGACCUUCGGGCCGUCUUGCCAUCGGAUGUGCCCGACGAUGGGAUUAGCUUGUUGGUGGGUAACGGG
rnacentral:rRNA from 1 species